rnacentral:lncRNA from 1 species
ACAUCGAUCACUCCUCUUAAUUUUCUACUCCCACACCCACAGACCACAGUGGCACCAACAAAUCAUUAACUCAAUGUACUCCGAUCUGAUCUAUGAUAUCUAUCCGUAUAUAGAGCAGUAGUAGGACCAACCAAAUUAAAUUGGUUUCCUGUCCGGACCGUCCUGUCUAGCAACCUUAAUCACCCGGCUACCAGUAUAAUUUAUUAGUGACCUGUGCCGCAAAAUCCAUUACAUAAAGCAUCCCUAGUCACCCCCGUCCA